rnacentral:SRP_RNA from 1 species
GCUGGGAGUUGUAGCGUGCUCCUGAAAUCCAGCUACUUCGAGGCUUGGUUGGUUGGCCGGUUUGAGAAUGGGAGUCCUGGUUGUCGGUCUUCUAUGGUGAUCGGGUGUCCGCGCUAAGCUCGGCAUCAAUAUGGUGCUGGAGAGGGAGCUCACCAGGACCAGGUUGUCUAAGGAGGGUCGAUUCGGCCCAGGGCGGAAACGCAGAAAGCAAAGACCCCAUGUUGAGCAGUAGUGGGAUCGGGCCUGUGAAUAUUUAUCGGCUGGUAGUCUGUUCGAUACAACUGGCCAAUCCCUU